rnacentral:rRNA from 1 species
GGCCAGACUCCUACGGGAGGCAGCAGUGGGGAAUAUUGCACAAUGGGGGAAACCCUGAUGCAGCGACGCCGCGUGAGCGAUGAAGUAUUUCGGUAUGUAAAGCUCUAUCAGCAGGGAAGAAGAUGACGGUACCUGACUAAGAAGCCCCGGCUAACUACGUGCCAGCAGCCGCGGUAAUACGUAGGGGGCAAGCGUUAUCCGGAUUUACUGGGUGUAAAGGGAGCGUAGACGGCGAUGCAAGCCAGAUGUGAAAGCCCGGGGCUCAACCCCGGGACUGCAUUUGGAACUGUGUGGCUGGAGUGUCGGAGAGGCAGGCGGAAUUCCUAGUGUAGCGGUGAAAUGCGUAGAUAUUAGGAGGAACACCAGUGGCGAAGGCGGCCUGCUGGACGGUGUACUGACGCUGAGGCUCGAAAGCGUGGGGAGCAAACAGGAUUAGAUACCCGCGUA